AUGUAUGUUUGGUUUCUUUUGGUGGGUUGUUGGGGCAAGAUCAGAUCAUAUAACUUUGGGUUUGGUCGAUGUUUUGGUUUGUAUGUUCCCUAGUGAAAGCAAAAUGAAAGUUUGAUUGGCUUUGUUCAAUUUGUAUGUAAAUUAAGUGAAAGCAAAAUGAAAGUUUGAUUGGCUUUGUUCAAUUUGUAUGUAAAUAUUUUCAUGUUAAAUCAACUUCUAGGCGUGCAAGAUCGAAGUCCAUAAAAAAGGUUUAACAUUUACGUUAAAAAUUUUGAAUUCUCCGUAAAUUUUGAAUUCUC
rnacentral:lncRNA from 1 species